rnacentral:rRNA from 1 species
GAUGAACGCUGGCGGCGUGCCUAAUACAUGCAAGUCGAGCGAACAGACGAGGAGCUUGCUCCUCUGACGUUAGCGGCGGACGGGUGAGUAACACGUGGAUAACCUACCUAUAAGACUGGGAUAACUUCGGGAAACCGGAGCUAAUACCGGAUAAUAUAUUGAACCGCAUGGUUCAAUAGUGAAAGACGGUUUUGCUGUCACUUAUAGAUGGAUCCGCGCCGCAUUAGCUAGUUGGUAAGGUAACGGCUUACCAAGGCGACGAUGCGUAGCCGACCUGAGAGGGUGAUCGGCCACAAGGGAACUGAGACACGGUCCAGACCCCUACGGGGGGCAGCAGUAGGGAAUCUUCCACAAUGGGGGAAAGCCUGACGGAGCAACGCCGCGUGAGUGAUGAAGGUCUUCGGAUCGUAAACCUCUGUUAUGAGGGAAAAACAAAUGUGUAAGUACCUAUGCAGGUUUAGAGGGAACGUAAUAAAAACGCCACGUCUAACUACG